UGUCGCGGUGGCAGCCCGGCUGUUGGUUCACUCACCUCUGCCUCCCAGCUCGGCCAGCCGGGCUCGCUCGCCUGCCUCCACGACGCCCUCCGGCUUCCCCUCUCGCACCCCGCCUGGACCCCCAGUCUCCGCGCCCUCUCCUAUCCGUCUGCCAGCCUCCCUCAAGCCUCCAGCCUAAGUGCCCUCCGUUCCUCCAGCUUCUCGGUUCCCCGUGUCCUUGUCAGCCUCUCCCCCUCCUUCCACCCGCCCUCGCCUCGAACCCCCUUCUCCUCAAUAAACCUCUUUUUCUAACCCUCA